rnacentral:rRNA from 1 species
GUCGUAACAAGGUCUCCGUUGGUGAACCAGCGGAGGGAUCAUUAAAGAGUUGCAAAACUCCCAAACCAUUGUGAACUUACCUUCAACGUUGCUUCGGCGGGUUGGCUCCGGGUCUCCCGGGGCCCCCGGCCCUCACGGGCGCCCGCCGGAGGUAUCUAACUCUUGAAAUUGUAUGGCCUCUCUGAGUGAUUUAUAAAUAAGUCAAAACUUUCAACAACGGAUCUCUUGGUUCUGGCAUCGAUGAAGAACGCAGCGAAAUGCGAUAAGUAAUGUGAAUUGCAGAAUUCAGUGAAUCAUCGAAUCUUUGAACGCACAUUGCGCCCGCCAGUAUUCUGGCGGGCAUGCCUGUUCGAGCGUCAUUUCAACCAUCAAGCCCCAGGCUUGUGUUGGGGACCUGCGGCUGCCGCAGGCCCUGAAAACCAGUGGCGGGCUCGCUAGUCACUCCGAGCGUAGUAAUACAUCUCGCUCAGGGCGUGCUGCGGGUUCCGGCCGUUAAAAGCCUUAUUUACCCAAGGUGACCUC